UACAGAGGGGGCAAGCGUUGUUCGGAAUUACUGGGCGUAAAGGGCGCGUAGGCGGCCUUCUAAGUCGAACGUGAAAUCCCUCGGCUUAACCGGGGAACUGCGUCUGAUACUGGUUGGCUUGAAUCCGGGAGAGGGAUGUGGAAUUCCAGGUGUAGCGGUGAAAUGCGUAGAUAUCAGGAGGAACACCGGUGGCGAAGGCGGGUCUCUGGGCCGAUACUGACGCUGAGGAGCGAAAGCGUGGGGAGCGAACAGG
rnacentral:rRNA from 1 species